rnacentral:rRNA from 1 species
AGUGCUGUGGUCCUACCUGACCCCAUACCGAACUCAGAAGUAAAACGCAGUAACGUCGAUGGUAGUGUGGUGAUUCGCCAUGUGAGAGUAG